AGGAUGUGGCUCAGUGGUAAAGUGCUUGCUCAGCAUGUAAGAGACCCGGGGUUCAAUCCCCAGUACUACUG
rnacentral:tRNA from 1 species